GGGCCGGUAGCUUAGCCCGGAAGAGCGGCAGGCUCUUAACCUGUUGGUCGGGGGUUCAAAUCCCUCCCGGCCCG
rnacentral:tRNA from 1 species